AUUGAACGCUGGCGGCAGGCCUAACACAUGCAAGUCGAACGAGUGGCGGACGGGUGAGUAAUGUCUGGGAAACUGCCCGAUGGAGGGGGAUAACUACUGGAAACGGUAGCUAAUACCGCAUACCAUCGGAUGUGCCCAGAUGGGAUUAGCUUGUAGGUGGGGUAACGGCUCACCUAGGCGACGAGCCCUAGCUGGUCUAAGAGUAUGACCGUCCACACUGGAACUGAGACACGGUCCAGACGCCAACGGUAGGCAGCAGUGGGGAAUAUUGCACAAGGGGCGCAAGCCUGAUGCAGCAAUGCCGCGUGUAUGAAGAAGGCCUUCGGGUUGUAAAGUACUUUCAGCGAGGAGGCGGUACUCGCAGAAGAAGCACCGGCUAACUCCGUGCCAGCAGCCGCGGUAAUUC
rnacentral:rRNA from 1 species